rnacentral:rRNA from 1 species
CCUACGGGCGGCAGCAGUGAGGAAUAUUGGUCAAUGGACGCAAGUCUGAACCAGCCAUGCCGCGUGCAGGAAGACGGCUCUAUGAGUUGUAAACUGCUUUUGUACGAGGGUAAACGCAGAUACGCGUAUCUGUCUGAAAGUAUCGUACGAAUGAGGAUCGGCUAACUACGUGCCCGCAGCCGCGGUAAUACGGAGGAUUCAAGCGUUAUCCGGAUUUAUUGGGUUUAAAGGGUGCGUAGGCGGGCGGGUAAGUUAGAGGUGAAAUCCCGAGGCUCAACUUCGGAAUUGCCUCUGAAACUGUUCGGCUAGAGAGUAGUUGCGGUAGGCGGAAUGUAUGGUGUAGCGGUGAAAUGCGUAGAGAUC